rnacentral:rRNA from 1 species
GACGAACGCUGGCGGCGUGCUUAACACAUGCAAGUCGAACGGAAAGGCCCUGCUUUUGUGGGGUGCUCGAGUGGCGAACGGGUGAGUAACACGUGAGUAACCUGCCCUUGACUUUGGGAUAACUUCAGGAAACUGGGGAUAUAACCGGAUAGGAGCUCUUGCUCCACGUGGGGGGUUGGAAAGUUUCGGCGGUGGGGGAUGGACUCGAGGCUUAUCGGCUUGUUGGGGGGGUUGGGGCUUACCAAGGGUUUGACGGAUAGCCGGCCUGGGAGGGUGACCGGCCACAUUGGGACUGAGAUACGGCCCAGACUCCUACGGGAGGCAGUAGGGGGGAAUAUUGCACAAUGGGCGGAAGCCUGAUGCAGCAACGCUGCGUGCGGGAUGACGGCCUUCGGGUUGUAAACCGCUUUCGCCUGUGACGAAGCGUGAGUGACGGUAAUGGGUAAAGAAGCACCGGCUAACUACGUG